rnacentral:lncRNA from 1 species
GAAUAAAACGAGCGGCGAAAGAACCGAAAAAAGGCUCGACGCUACCGUGUAUGAGGAACUUUGAUCCUUGCGGGCCACCAUUCCGGAAGUAGAAUUUAGAGGAAGAAAAUACCGGAGUUGCAGGGUAUAGACGGUAUCCAACUGUUGAAAAACGAGCCAGAGUCUUCAAUGGAGCAAGUUAUGUGCCUGUUCCUGAAGAUGGUCCCUUUCUUAAAGCACUGCUCUUUGAACUUAGAUUAUUGGAUGAUGAUAAAGACUUCGUUGAGAGUCGUGAUAGCUGUUCACGCAUCAAUAAAACAUCCAUUUAUGGACUCCUGAUAGGAGGUGAAGAACUCUGGCCAGUUGUUGCUUUUCUGAAGAAUGACAUGAUAUAUGCUUGUGUUCCACUAGUUGAACAAACUCUGUCCCCUCGUCCGCCACUAAUUAGUGUCAGUGGAGUUUCACAAGGCUUUGAAUUUCUUUUUGGGAUACAGGAUUUUCUUUAUUCAGGUCAAAAAAAUGACUCUGAGCUGAAUACAAAAUUGAGCCAGUUGCCUGACUUGCUUCUGCAGGCUUGUCCAUUUGGUACUUUAUUAGAUGCCAACUUACAGAAUUCAUUAGAUAAUACCAA